rnacentral:rRNA from 1 species
CCCUUAGAUGUCCUGGGCCGCACGCGCGCUACACUGAGUGUCUGAGAUACGAGUCUGCCUGGUCCGGCAAGGUCUAGGUAAUCGCUAAAAGACACAUCAUGCUUGGGAUAGAUUAUUGCAAAUAUUAAUCUUGAACGAGGAAUUCCUAGUAAGCGCAAGUCAACAGCUUGCGUUGAUUACGUCCCUGCCCUUUGUACACACCGCCCGUCGCUACUACUGAUUGGAUGUUUAAGCGAGGUUCUCGAACUGCUAGCGACUUAGCUUCGGUGAGGUCGCAGUGUGGGAAGUGAACCUAGCUUUGGUGUCUAGAGGAAGUAAAAGGCGUAAC